rnacentral:rRNA from 1 species
AUUGAACGCUGGCGGCAUGCUUUACACAUGCAAGUCGAACGGCAGCGCGGGCUUCGUCCUGGCGGCGCGUGGCGAAAGGGUGAGUAAUGCAUCGGAACGUGCCCAGCAGUGGGGGAUAGCACGGCGAAAGCCGGAUUAAUACCGCAUACGACCUGCGGGUGAAACCGGGGGACCGAAAGGCCUCGCGCUAUUUGAGCGGCAGAUGUCGGAUUAGCUAGUUGGUGGGGUAAAGGCUUACCAAGGCGACGAUCCGUAGCUGGUCUGAGAGGACGACCGGCCACACUGGGACUGAGACACGGCCCAGACGCCUACGGGAGGCAGCAGUGGGGAAUUUUGGACAAUGGGGGCAACCCUUAUCCAGCCAUGCCGCGUGCGGGAAGAAGGCCUUCGGGUUGUAAACCGCUUUUGUUCGGGAAGAAAUCCUCUGGGCUAAUACCCCGGGGGGAUGACGGUACCGGAAGAAUAAGCACCGGCUAACUACGUG